CUCCAGCAUCCGCCUGGCACCUGACACCUCCCUGCUAGCCAGUCCCAGAGAGCUCUUUUCCUCCAGACUAGCUGGGGCUGGAACUGCUUAGAAUCGGACCCAGAAGAGGCCGAGUUCCGUCCAGGACUAAAGGCAGCCUCCAGGGAAUAAAGCUGUCAGUGUGGGCGCAGACUAGGGAAGGGGCACUAGGUCGUUCAAGCUGAAUGCUGGGGUUCCACAGCCUCCUCACACCCCCUUUAGUGCCUCAGGUAGAGUAGGCUUGUGGGGACACUGAGGUUUCCUCAGGUCCUUUCCCUGCUCAAUAACUCUCCAUGGCUCGCCACUACCCACUGCAUAAAGCCCUAACUCCUAUACCUGGCAUUUGGGAGCCUCUGUGAUUCCACUUCUUCAGUCUCUUCUCCUCCCUAAGCCCCCAUGCCCCAGCCACAGGGGCUACUUAGGUGCCCCUCCUGCUCCCCUUUCCCCUUGCACCCAAACCUUCUCUGCUCAUGUGCUAUUUCCUGGGGCCUUCUCUAGGGCUCAUUCCCUAGUUGGAGUUAAAUUCUGCUUCCAAGGAAUCAGCCACCCAAAUAACAAACCAGUCCACCUGAGAAUCUAGUCUGUGAUGCAGCGUCAAUAGCUUCUGAUGAAUUUGCUUCUGACCAGUAGCCUCCAGGGGUCAUAAAACAUUCACAGAGAGGAACACAGAGAAGAUGUGGGUCUUCAGGCUCAGAGAAGAGAAGGCAUUGUUUGCCCAUGAAUGUUUGCAAGUAAAUAGCAGAGCUGGGACUCAAAGAGUCCGGAUCUGGGGCUCCAUCAUGAAUCUCUAAGAGUGGCCCAGAGAUUCUCACGUUCCCUAGGUAAUCAUUCUGGCAGUCUGCUGCCUUUGCACAUGCUCUUCUCUCUGCUGAGAAUGGCCUUCCCUCAAUCCAUCUGGUGAACUCCUAUUCAGUCUUCCAAACCCUGCUUAGCAUGACCUCCCCCUUCCCAGAUGCUCUCUCUACUCACUCUCCUUCCCCUGUGGUACAAGUUCUGCACCUGUACAGAUUCUUAACCCUCUACGCUUGACUUGGUAUUGUUGCUGCUCAUUUCCCCUCUUGCUCCUCCUCCAGCUUGGGGCCUCCAUGAGGCUAACAAUGGGGUCACAUGUCUCUGUCCCUGGGAAAGUGGCCAGCAUGGGGCUGGCCCAGAGAAGGACAAGGUGGCUGUUUGUCAUUCACCCACGUGCCUCAGCUGCAGAACCUGUCCUCAAGGUGCUCACAGGCUGAGGGAAGGCAGACAGAGGACAAGUGGCAACCUACAAAACACCAAAUGGGCUCCAUACUCAACCAAGGUGCCCCUCAGCCAGAACUGGACACAUUGCCAGAGAACUCCAGGGGUCAUCUGGUCGGCUCAGCCUCCCGGUUUCCGACAGACAGUAAGCCCACCAUGACUCCCUCCAUCGGGAAAGGGACCCUCAAGACUUUGAUCAGACCUUUGGACUGGGGGUCCUUCCCUUCACUGUGUCUCAAGUAAGGCACUGGUCUAGAGGAAAUAAGGUGAAGUCAGAUGAUAGCAAUACCACUACCAGUGCAGUGGCACAUGCCUGCACUCCCAGCUACUACGGAGGCUAAGGUGGGAGGAUCACUUGAGCCCAGGAGUUUGAGACCAGCAUUUAUUUAUUUACUAACAGACUAAAUAAAUAAACCAACAAUACCACCAACCAGUAAAUGAGAACUUCCAUGCUAAACACUUCAUGAGCUUAUCUGGAAAUUGCACCUCUCCUGAUAGCAAUGAGAUUGGUGUGGGAAUUCCAUUUACUCAUAAGAAGACAGCCUCGGCCGGGCUCAGUGGCUCACGCCUGUAAUCCCAG
rnacentral:lncRNA from 10 species